AGCAAUGAGUUUGAUGCACCCAGAGUAAAGAUCUUUGAGGGUGAUACUAAGUUUGUUUCUUUACUUUUUCUUUUCCAUUUGAGUUUGAUCUCAAUUGUUCUUUUGAAUUUUGAAAACAACUUUCUUACAUGAAAAAGGAACAUAAG
rnacentral:sRNA from 1 species